GACGAACGCUGGCGGCGUGCUUAACACAUGCAAGUCGAGCGGAAAGGCCCUUCGGGGUACUCGAGCGGCGAACGGGUGAGUAACACGUGAGUAACCUGCCCUGGACUUUGGGAUAACCCUCGGAAACGGGGGCUAAUACCGGAUAUGACCUGUCACUGCAUGGUGGUGGGUGGAAAGUUUUUCGGUCUGGGAUGGGCUCGCGGCCUAUCAGCUUGUUGGUGGGUGAUGGCCUACCAAGGCGACGACGGGUAGCCGGCCUGAGAGGGCGACCGGCCACACUGGGACUGAGACACGGCCCAGACUCCUACGGGAGGCAGCAGUGGGGAAUUUUGGACAAUGGGGGCAACCCUGAUCCAGCCAUGCCGCGUGCGGGAAGAAGGCCUU
rnacentral:rRNA from 1 species